rnacentral:lncRNA from 1 species
CGCACAGCCAGUGAGCGCGCCUCUCUCACAGCUAUCCGGUGGCCACCCAUUCCUAGGAUGCACAGAGACGGUAUCCACUCCUGUCUCUGAACACUCGUCGCUCCCAACACAAACGACGAACCAAAGGGAAGUACCCUUUUCCUCUCGCUCUCGACGUUAUCACCUACGGAUCAACUAACUUCUGUAAGAGGACGAACGUGAGGAGAGAAAGAGAUUCAAUGGAAAGCUAAGGAGAAAGGGCCUCACCAAAAGUGGAGGAACUGACGCCAUGGGCGGAGUCGACAACAGAGGCUACAUGUGGAGUAUUGACUGUUGGAAAUUGAAUGUUGAUUUUGGGAUUUUACGCAGUAGUUCAUUUUUUGGGGAGGAAUUGCUAUUUUUGAGGAGAGUUUUAUAUAUAUAUUUUUUUUUAAGAGACAUUGCACAUUUUUGUACCACCAUUUUUAAUAGCUACUUCCUACAUUUUCCAAAUAAAGUAUUGUUAAUUGUGUCGUUCAUCCUUCCUGAAAUUGCACUGGGCCACAUAAGAACCAGAGUUUUCUCAUCUCUGACACCGGUUCUUAGCGGAAUUGUGAGUGACCAUAAAGUGUGUGUACGUUCGUAUAAUGUGUGAUUUGUUAUCCCUCUACAACCAAAUGUUUAUCUAUUAAAAUGAAUUAGAUAUGUGUAAGACAGGGGGAAUCAUUUUUGCUAGAUGGUACUCAACCAUUCAUGCCCAGUGCAUAUUAUGACUGAUAUGAGACAUGGAAAGGGCCAAAUUGUUCUACAGGGCCCUGUUGAAUGCAUGUUAAAUAAGUACUGUUUUACUACAGUCAUAAUAUAACCACUGGCAGUCUUCUUAGAAGUCCUACAAAUAGCCUUCAUCUGUAUCACCAUUCCAAUCAACUUUAAUCAUCAUCCCCUUAUAGACAGAGAAAAGGCAUUUGAGUUGGUUUUAGUGUCAUUAUAGCUUGCCUCGUAUUAUGUCUGUAGCUAGGUUUCCAUUCCAAUUGACAGGCAGAUUUACAUGCAAAUAUUCUAAAAUCGG